UACGAAGGGGGCUAGCGUUGUUCGGAAUUACUGGGCGUAAAGCGCACGUAGGCGGAUUGUUAAGUCAGAGGUGAAAUCCCGGGGCUCAACCUCGGAACUGCCUUUGAUACAGCACGUCUUGAGUCCGAUAGAGGUGGGUGGAAUUCCUAGUGUAGAGGUGAAAUUCGUAGAUAUUAGGAAGAACACCGGUGGCGAAGGCGGCCCACUGGAUCGGUACUGACGCUGAGGUGCGAAAGCGUGGGGAGCAAACAGG
rnacentral:rRNA from 1 species